rnacentral:rRNA from 1 species
UACAGAGGUCUCAAGCGUUGUUCGGAUUCAUUGGGCGUAAAGGGCGCGUAGGCGGCAUGACAAGUCACUUGUGAAAUCUUCGGGCUUAACCCGGAACGGCCAAGUGAUACUGUCAUGCUAGAGUGCAGAAGGGGCAAUCGGAAUUCUCGGUGUAGCGGUGAAAUGCGUAGAUAUCGAGAGGAACACCUGAGGUGAAGACGGGUUGCUGGGCUGACACUGACGCUGAGGCGCGAAAGCCAGGGGAGCAAACGGG